UUUUUGACCAUAGCUCUGAAGAUGGCUUUAUAAGCCGAAAGCGCUCAGCUAGGAAUUAUUUAUUUUACAUAUUUCAAAAGUACACUUCUCUCUGUUUACCUGAAUUCAAUAAUGGGUUGAUGUCUCGACCCAAUCUGCUGUUUGUUGGCUGCACUUACUUGAUUUACUUUCAAUCUAUUCCGAAUAGAAAAAAAUCUACUGUACAUUCGAUGAACAUAAAAAAUAGAUACGAGCAAUACUGCUCGUAGUAUCUUUUCUGUAAACAAUACAUUGGUUUAUCGCUUCUUGAAAUACAUAAAUUGUAGCAAAACUACUACGUGCAAUACAUAUUACUGGACUAGAUUUGUAUUCUGUACAAAAAUACUGUUGCUUCCUCUUGGAUACUUUAAAGUGCCUUAAAAGUUUAGUAGGUAGUUUUUUUAUUAAUAGGAAUUAAAUUAAGUAAUUCACUCACCGUCAAAAUUAAUCGCCCACCUUGUAUUUCUUCCAGUUUGCAGAAAUGAUCAAUCUUGGAGCACAAUUUAUGAAGGAUACGGUGAAAACUACCUCCAAGGAAAAGAAAACAAUAACAUUAUUGAAAAAAAGUCGUUUAUCAAGGGAUAUUUAGCAAAAAUCAAAUGUUUAAAAAUCUUGGAAGAAAAUUCAAACAAAAAUAAUUUUGAAAAUCAUAGUCUAAUUAAAAAAAAAUAGUAUUAAUAAUGGAUGUUGCCGUUUCAGGCCCUUAUUACUUCUUUGAGCCGGUUCGACAAUCCAUUCAUGAUAUCCUGGGUCCUGGAUAUCCUCUACCUACCUAUACCGCAGCCAUCUUAAGCUAUCCGAAGGAUCAUCAUCAUCAAUGGCGUUACAACUCUUCGUGAGUCUUUACCGCGUUUACUAUUGCCUUCCAUGUUUGUCGGUCCGAAGGAUGUAGGGGCUGAACUACGGUACGAGAUGCUAUCAUACGACUUCGGAAGACAGGUUCAUACACCCGCAGGCCAGGUCAAGGCCGACAUCGAUGCAGUAAAAUUCGAGAUGACCACUUCAUUGUCAGCAACGUGUUGAGAAAUCGCUUUUGCACCGCUUCUGAAACUCGUACGCGUCUUUUGAGGUGAAAAAUGUUAGUGUCAGUGAACGUACCAUUAGGAGAAGACAGGCAGAAAAAAAUUUGAGGGCUUUCCGUUCAGCUCGCGACAGGCCCACAGCACCGUAAAAGUAGACUUGUUUUGUGCGAGAGUAUGCCGACUGGACUGUAGCGGAAUGGAAGAACACAUGGUUCUUAGAUGAAAGCAGAAUAGCUCCAAGAGGUCCAGAUGGACGUCAGCGUGCAUCUGGACUGCACUAUAAACGAAACAGUGACUUACCGAGGAGGGUCAAUAAUGAUUUGUGGAAGUAUAUCUAGUACUGAUCUUGUUGUGUUCCAUAAAGGUAGUGUGAGUGCUCAAAGAUACGGGGAAGCCAAGACCAUUCUAUGCCUUUCACAUCGUUCAUUGGUGAAAACUUUGGAUUAAUGAAUAACAAUGCAUAUGUUGCCAUACCGCAAGAUUCACUCGUGAGAACCUUAAUGAGGCCAGGAUUUUACCAUGGCCUGCACGCUGUCCCGAUCUUAACUCGAUUAAACACAUUCGGAACAACCUCAAAAAAAUGAGUAAGAGUACCAGCCUCUACAUCCUUCGGAGAGCUCAAGACAGCUACGUUAGAGGAGUGGUACAAUAGGUAUCCUCCAAUCAAAUAUCAUGAAUGGAUUGCUGAACCGGCUCAAAGAAGUCCUAAGGACCUGAGACGGAACACCCAUUAUUAAUAUUCAUUUUUUAAAUUAGACUAUGAUUUCCAAAAUCAUGUUUGUCUGAAUUUUCUUCAAGAUUUUUAAACAUUGGAUUUUUGCUAAGCAUUCCUUGAUAAAGUUUGUUUAGCAGGAAAUGGUUGACUUCAAUUAGUGCGGUCGUAAAUAUUAUUAAAUUUAUUUGACUUGGCCCAUUGUUAAGACCGGUCCGGAGCGAUAAGCAAACGAGGUAGACAGAGUUGUUCUUUUGGACAAUUAACACUGACUAGACGGUACUCCUAUAAUAAAGCAAAGGAUCCCCAAAAUUUACAAUAAUUACGACGACAAAAACGGAUGUAAAAUAUAUUGCUUUGCCUUAUAUACCCGAAAUUAAUGUUUCAUUCAAACAUAUUUAAAUUUUACCUGAAACCGGGCCUUUUAUACUAUUGAAGUACCAGUACAAGUAUUGACCAUUGAAGUUAACCAUUUACUGCUAAACAAACUUUAAACGACUUUUUUUCAUAAUUUUAUUGUUAUCUUUUCCUCAAAGGUAGUUUUCACCGUAUCUUUCAUAAAAUGUGGUCCAAGCAGGGCUGGAUUAAGCUAUGGGCUACAGCCCAGGGCGGAAAAUUUUGGUAAAAAAUGGCGGGGUGGGAGGGAGGCAAAUUGUGGAUAGCCCAGGGGCAGCAAAUCUUCUUGGUCCAAGAUUGACAAUUUCUGCAAAUUGAGAGAAAUACAAGGCGGGCGGUUAAUUUUGUCGGUGAGUGUGUACAUAAUAUAUCAAUCUUUUAUGUUAUUUUCUCAAAAUUUUAGGCAACAUGUUUAAGCUUUUAAAUUUAUUUUUACUGUAUAAAGGACUGUAACAAAAAGGUAAUUUGUAUGUGUAAGUAAAUUUAGUUUUUACAUUCCAAGUCACUAUAUUGUAAAUAUUUUAAACUAGAUUUAGUAAUAGUUCUUUGUUAGUGUUUUAAUCAUUAAACCUGUAUAGGUAUUGUACUUAUAAUUAAAGAAAAUAAAAAAAAAUUCUUUUGCAAAA
rnacentral:lncRNA from 1 species